GUGGGGAAACAUCCCAUGGCUGGGUUUUCUCUUUCUUCUUUUAAAUAAAAACCCCAGGUUACUGUGCUUCUUGUUUCGAAUCCUCUUGCUCAAGUUCUCAACUGAUGGUUGAAAAUGUCUACCAUGAAUUUGGACUCGCCCUUCAGCAUAUGGUAACUAAGCAGGAUGAGGUUUUGGUUGCUGGUAUAAGAGGCAUAGAAUGGGAUGCCAUGGAAUUACCAUCACGGUUCAUGCAAAAUAGGUGCUAUCAUAGAGCUUGAGAAACACAUUCCUGAUCUCCACGUGUUGAUUUCGACCCCUUUUCAUCCUGCCUAUGUCACGGCUGAUAGAAUCAACAAGGCAAAAAAUUUACAACUUCUGCCGACUGCUGGAAUUGGAUCAGAUCAUGUUGAUCUGAAAGCUGCUGUUGCUGCUGGAUUGACAGUAGCAGAGGUCACUGGAAGCAAUACUGUCUCAGUUGCGGAAGAUGAACUGAUGCGAAUCUUAAUUCUUGUUCGAAAUUUUCUGCCUUGCAGGACGUAUUGGCAGACUUUUACUCCAACGAUUGAAGUCAUUUUACUGUAAUCUACUUAACCAUGACCGGCUUAAGAUGGAUCUGUAGCUGGAAAGUCAAAGCGGAGCAAAGUUUGAGGAAGAUCUUGAUAAGAUGCUUUCGAAAUGUGACAUAGUGAUCAUCAAUACGCCUCUUAAAUAGAAAACAAAGCAAGAACAAUAUGAGAAAUCUGCUGCAGGAAGAGCAGCUCGUGCACAAAUGACAGCUUCUGCCAAGCAAACAACGAAUCCGAACCAAGGAGAACCCGUUCUUAAGUUGCGGUAUGCAGCUGGAACGAAGGAUAUGCUAGACAGGAGAUGAGGGCACAUAAUGCACAACUUUAUGCUGCAGUGUCGUAGUGGUUAGUUCUGUGGUGAGCGUUCGAUCGGUAGGGAUGUUAUGACAUUAACUGCAGCUGCAGCUACUGCUCUCUGUGAUGCGGUUUACAUUAGAGGCUAGAACAUCAAACGAAGCAUGGAACAUAGCAGCAAUAAUUCCUGUUGAUAAAAUAAUGGGAAGUGGCAAUGGUGGUGGUAGAAAUGGUAGUUCUAGCAGUGAGCUAAUUGCCGAAGAGAAUUUUCUUGAAAUUUGCAGCAGAGAAUAGCUUGCAAGAGGUGGUGAGCUCCUAAAGCGUACUC